UACUUGGUUGAUCCUGCCAAGGAAGCACACUUAGGUCAUAGAUUAAGCCAUGCAAGUGUUAGUUCAGGUACGAAAACUGCGAAUAGCUCAUUAAUACGCUCAGAAUCUAUUUGGCGGCGACCAACAGGUCUUAAAUGGAUAGCAGCAGCAACUCUGGUGCUAAUACAUGCGAUUGUUUCUCCAGAUGUGAAUUAUGGAGGAAAAGUUGACCUCAUCAGAGGCACGCCAUUCGACUGAGUGACCUAUCAGCUUGUACUUAGGGUCUUUACCUAGGUAGGCUAUCACGGGUAACGGGCGGUUACCGUCGGACUGCCGGAGAAGGCGCCUGAGAGAUAGCGACUAUAUCCACGGGUAGCAGCAGGCGCGAAACUUUCCCACUCGAGACUUUCGGAGGAGGUAAUGACCAGUUCCAUUGGUGCCUUUUGGUACUGUGGAUAGGGGUACGGUUUUCCACCGUACCGAAACCUAGCAGAGGGCCAGUCUGGUGCCAGCAGCUGCGGUAAUUCCAGCUCUGCGAGUUUGCUCCCAUAUUGUUGCAGUUAAAACGCCCGUAGUCUGAAUUGGCCAGCAAUGGUCGUACGUAUUUUUACGUUCACUGUGAACAAAUCAGGACGCUUAGAGUAUGGCCACAUGAAUGACUCAGCGCAGUAUGAAGUCUUUGUUUUCUUCCGAAAACAAGCUCAAUGAGAGCCAUCGGGGGUAGAUCUAUCUCAUGACGAGUGGUGGAAUACUUUGACUCAUGAGAGAGAAGCUGAGGCGAAGGCGUCUACCUAGAGGGUUUCUGUCGAUCAAGGGCGAGAGUAGGAGUAUCCAACAGGAUUAGAGACCCUGGUAGUUCCUACCUUAAACGAUGCCGACAGGAGUUUGUCAUUUGUUAAUGGCAGAAUCU
rnacentral:ncRNA from 2 species